rnacentral:pre_miRNA from 1 species
GGGCAUGGAUCUCUCGCGGGGUGCGUAGGCGUGUGUAUUCAUUAACAGCUAUGUAAUCCGCAGGAUUCGAGUACCC